AGGCCCUAGGGUUGUAAAGCUCUUUAACGGUGGAAGAUAAUGACGGUAGCCGUAGAAGAAGCCCCGGCUAACUUCUUGCCAGCAGCCGCGGUAAUACCAAGGGGGCUAGCGUUGUUCGGAAUUACUGGGCGUAAAGCGCACGUAGGCGGAUUGAUCAGUUGGGGGUGAAAUCCCAGGGCUCAACCCUGGAACUGCCUUCAAUACUGCAUGUCUAGAGGUUGAGAGAGGUGAGUGGAAUUCCAAGUGUAGAGGGGAAA
rnacentral:rRNA from 1 species